UCAAUGUAUGCGAUGUAGUAUACUGUGGGAGAGGAACAUGCCAACUUUCUUCCAGUGAUUUACUCGGGUUCAGAUGCGAUUGUGAAACUGGUUGGAAGAAGCCAAACAUUGGUUCUUUCCAAUUACCACCAUGUGCUCUUCCCAAUUGUACCGUUGAUCUAAACUGUGGCAAUGGUUCUUCGUCACUGCCUUCUUCUCCACCUACAACAUUUAAGGAUCCUUGUUUGUUGAAUUUGUGUGGGGAUGGAACUUGUGAGAGUAAUGGCUCUGAUUUUAGGUGUCGAUGCAAUGAAGGCUCUGCCAAUCUACUCGACGAUCCAAAACUCAUUUGCAUUAAGAGAUGCACUUUGGGAGGGGAUUGUGGGGGAUUUAAUCUAGGGUUUGACUCGUCACCUAACGAAACUCAGCCACCACCGGAAAAAUCAGGAACCAGUGGCUCUCCUCCGACUUCUCCGACUGCAGUGUCAGGUGAAACGCUGCGUUCCAUAAGGGGGCUUCAUGUGCUGGCUACGUUGUUAUUAGCAUUAAUAUUUGAAGCAUGGAUUUAAAAGGGAAGAUGAAAGUGCAGAAAUGCAGAAAAUAAACCUUUCUAAAUAAAAGAGUCUUUUUAUUUAUUUCUGUAAUUGGUUACUUAAUUAGAAAUUAGUAACAGUG